GCUGAAAGGGGAGCCUGACAUAAUUCAGGAUUGGUCAGAACUCACAAACAAGCCACUUAGAGCCCAAGCCUUUUAAGUGGCUUAAAUGAAUUAGGAUGACAAUACAUGUUAUUGUUCCUGUUUCUAUUUAGGAGAGAAAAAAGGCUUGGAAGAAAAAAUCAGUCUCAGCUGGAGCUAAAAACAAAAAACAACCCACAAUAUUUUCCAUUUUUUUGUGUGCUUACAAUGUGUUUAUGCUAAGAAUUUCUCCGUUUACUGUGACAGAUUAUUGGCAAUGACUGCUUGAAAUGCGUUGAGAAGGAUUCUGAGGAAAGAGUGCUGGGAUUACUUAGUAAUGUCUGCCAGCUACCCUCGAAGGAAGAUGGCAGUUGCAAUAGAUUGACUUGUUGUUUGAAAUUAUUUGCUCUCCCCUCCCUGCCCAUUGCUAUGUGACUUGAGGUACCUCCUUUAGGAGAAUAUAUGUCUCAUUUCAUUGA